UUCAAUCUAUAUGGUACAAAGGUAUUACAUCGGCACAGCGACACUACACCUGCCACGGUUGCUCCAUGCAAGUAGCAGAACAACACGAAGUAGCGGAAUAUCUACUGGCGGCAGAACAGCGACGACGGUGAUGAACUCCACUCCGCAGGGACUCUGGCUGGAACGCUUAUCCUAGCUCGCAAACACGGACUCCACGGUAAACAAGCAAUCAAAUCCGGCAUGACCUGCAAACUGGCAUGACACGCUAGGUCGGUACAUUGAAUGUACUUGCAAGCUCACAACAACCAAAGCAAUCAAGACAGACAACAGCAUGGCAAUUACAGGUUAACAAGGAUUAACAUGAUACUAUCGGAACAACAUGGUAUGAAUAACAUGAUACAGCUAGAACAAUACGAGCAUGGCAUAACAUAUAAACAAGAUGACACUAUCAUGCAACAUGAUGACGUUAUCAUGCACCAACUUACUUUGUUCGGUUUACCUCGUAACCAUCACGGACAUCACACGAUCAUCUCAGGAUCCAAUCAGGCUUGGUAUUAACAAUACCAUAGUAAGCAUUACAUGACCACAAGGAGCUUGAUCUUUACCAUUGACUCUCGCAUAAUACCACAAAUAUCCAUCAACUCGGUAUCCUCGAUACCACGGUGAUCAUCUCACGGUCACAAUCAACUUCUUUCUCAUCAUCGAACCAGGGUUGUUAUUAAGCACAUUAUUAUUAUUACUGUCGACCCACAGUGUGACCAACUACGAAUUGGGCCCUUAUCCGUGGGCGCGACUACCGAUAGAUUUAAUACACACUUUGCAGAGGUAGCGCACUAUACCCACACCACGGAACCCAUGGCCUCGCACUCCAUUCGGGUGGACCAACGGCGUUCCGACAAAACCGUCCUAUUGCCAUGACACUCUCCGGCCACUCUGACCAACUCCCCUUUGGGCUAAGUCAUGGGUGGCCCCGUGCCUACCAAAGGCAUCAACGGCCACCGUCGUGGCAAAACAUAAACGGUCCCAAACGGGGACAAAAGCGCGCAAAACAACUCGGGCACACAAGGCUUAUGCUGUCCUACCCGGCCAAGGUAGCGCCCGCGCAUAGCCUUCCCUCGUGGGAGGCACCAACGAGAGGCAUGACAAUAGACCUAGUUAGGACCUCCCCAUAAAGGCAAAUGUGAUUGCACUGGUCAGCUCGAUAUAGUGGCACCAUGACUCAGCGAACAGUUGUUCAAGUUCAAUUUAAUCCGGUUAAACUUGAAUGCACUAUACUGAGCCAUGAUAAAAUAACAUGAUGCAAUUGUCACGCAUGAUAUCAACAUGAGCAUGGAUGUACAACAUAAUCAUCAAGCAUAUGAACAACGAUCAAUCAUAUCCAACUGAGCAUGGCAUACUGACGAGUAUGAAUAACACAAGUAUAACACUACAGAUAAGCAUAGCAUAACCACUAGCAUCAGAAAUAAAUACUAUGCCAGAAUAUAACGAUAACACUACCAAGUAAUCAUGUAACCAGGUAGAUGCAAAGGAACAUGCAUAUUCACUGUACUUGGUAGCAGGCAAUAGUCAUGCACCGAAGAACAUGACCAACACCAACAUGUACUACUACCAAACAUGUCAUACGAGAAUAAUACAAGCAAGAAUACGUGAUAACCAUGUGCAUAAAAACAUAGCAUGAAAGUGAACACAAAUCCAUAAGCAUCACCGAACCAACGAUAACCGAAUUAAAACAAGCAGACAUUUAUUAAAUAUUCAAGUUGAAAACCAUGGCUACUGCAUGGCCAUCAUGCAAGUGGGUCUUGUGGCAUGCCUGGGGAUGAAGAAUGCACCGGGGAGGAGUGCGGAACGAUCGCGGAAAGAUUCGCCGGAAACAGUUCUCUCUCGGAGGGGCUAUUUACGGGCAAGGGCAAAAUGGUCAUUUCCAUUAUGUCAAACCAUAGUGAAAAUGAUAUCAAAAGUUCGGGCUCGAAGAGACGAAGAUGUGGGCGUUGGAUUCACCUCAAUCGGAGUCUCGAGCAAAAAGUUAUAGCCCGGCGAAGUUCAGGGACCAAUCUGUAAAAAUAACUCUACAAACAGGCCCUUGGCUGGAAAAUCAGAAAGCGCAUUUCUCAGAUUACAUCUUCAGAAAGUGAAAACGUAUUUUAAGCCGAAGGAGAAACAGAAUGUGUUUUCUUAAAAGGAAAGCGUUUUACCAAAAAUACGCCUUCACUAAAAACGGCCAGCGGGGCCACUGGGUCAACACGGGGAACUUACAGGUGGGGUCUGCCACUUAUCCACAUGGGCAGGACGGAGUCAACGUUGGGUAGCUGACGAGAGGGUCCCACGUGCUGGUGGGGCCCGCCCGGCCGGUCGUCGCCUUCAACCUCGCGCUCGUCCGCGAGGCAGAGCAGAGGCGCACGAUGCGGGCGGCCGUCCCGGCGAUCUGGUCCACCCCCGGCGACGCUCCGCACACGGACGAGCUUGGGAAGAUGAGGUGCUCCUGCCUGGACCCUUCACGCACGCCGAGGGGCAUCAGAGAGAGUCAGUCUUGGCCGGGGCGGACGGCGGUUCCGUCCGGAGUUGAGCACGGGGCUACGGCCGCUCCGGGGAUGAGGCGAAUGGGUGGGGAGGCUCAGCAUGCUUCGGUGGAUCUACUGGUGGGGAGAGGAGGAGGGGAGAGAGCCUGGCUGCCGCAAAUUUAGUUGGGCUCCGGCGAGAGGCACUACGGCCAUGGGGGUCAAGGAGAGCUCCAGUAGC
rnacentral:lncRNA from 1 species